UACGUAGGGUGCGAGCGUUAAUCGGAAUUACUGGGCGUAAAGUGUGCGCAGGCGGCAGAGCAAGUCGAGUGUGAAAGCCCCGGGCUUAACUUGGGAAUUGCGCUCGAAACUACUUUGCUGGAGUGUGGCAGAGGAAGGUGGAAUUCCACGUGUAGCGGUGAAAUGCGUAGAGAUGUGGAGGAACACCGGUGGCGAAGGCGCCACUCUGGGCCGAAACUGACGCUGAGGAGCGAAAGCGUGGGUAGCAAACAGG
rnacentral:rRNA from 1 species